UUAAGUCUCAUGGAUAGAUGCUUAAUGCUGGCUGGAAAAAAACAGAAAUGGAAAAAAAAUGUAAUCAACCGGUGGGAUGGAACAGGAAAGCCAGUUCAGAGCAGCAGAAGUGCCAAUGGAGAUGCAAUGCAAGAAUAUGGCUGAGUGGGCAGCGUCAGUCAUGCUUGCUAGUUAUCAGGGGGCCCCCAAAGCUCCGAGUGCUCUCAGAGACAGACUGGACCGGCUGGACCUCACCAUGGCAACCACACUCAUCAAGCAUUACCCAGGACGCUUGUUGCUUUGAUGAGACUUUCCC